rnacentral:rRNA from 1 species
UCGAGGGGCAGCACAGUAUAGCAAUAUAUGGGUGGCGACCGGCAAACGGGUGCGUAACACGUACGCAACUUACCCUUUACUGGGAGAUAGCCCAGGGAAACUUGGAUUAAUAUCCCAUAUUGCAGAGAAUCGGCAUCGAUUUUCUGCCAAAGUUCCGACGGUAAAGGAUGGGCGUGCGGUUGAUUAGGUAGUUGGCGGGGUAACGGCCCACCAAGCCUACGAUCAAUAGCUGAUGUGAGAGCAUGAUCAGCCACACGGGCACUGAGACACGGGCCCGACUCCUACGGGAGGCAGCAGUAAGGAAUAUUGGGCAAUGGACGCAAGUCUGACCCAGCCAUGCCGCGUGAAGGAUGAAGGCCCUCUGGGUUGUAAACUUCUUUUAUCUGGGGCGAAAGGCGGUUAUUCUUAGCCGUUUGACAGUACCAGAGGAAUAAGCACCGGCUAACUCCGUGCCAGCAGCCGCGGUAAUACGGAGGGUGCAAGCGUUAUCCGGAUUCACUGGGUUUAAAGGGUGCGUAGGUGGAUCUGUAAGUCAGAGGUGAAAUCCCCGAGCUUAACUUGGGAACUGCCUUUGAUACUAUAGAUCUUGAAUAUCGUGGAGGUAAGCGGAAUAUGUCAUGUAGCGGUGAAAUGCAUAGAGAUGACAUAGAACACCAAUUGCGAAGGCAGCUUGCUACACGAUGAUUGACACUGAGGCACG